rnacentral:rRNA from 1 species
GAUGAACGCUGGCGGCGUGCCUAAUACAUGCGAGUCGAGCGAACGGACGAGAAGCUUGCUUCUCUGAUGUUAGCGGCGGACGGGAGAGUAACACGUGGAUAACCUACCUAUAAGACUGGGAUAACUUCGGGAAACCGUAGCUAAUACCGGAUAAUAUUUUGAACCGCAUGGUUCAAAAGUGAAAGACGGUCUUGCUGUCACUUAUAGAUGGAUCCGCGCUGCAUUAGCUAGUUGGUACGGUAACGGCUUACCAAGGCAACGAUGCAUAGCCGACCUGAGAGGGUCAUCGGCCACACCGGAACUGAGACACGGUCCAGACUCCUACGGGAGGCAGCAGUAGGGAAUCUUCCGCAAUGCGCGAAAGCCUGACGGAGCAACGCCGCGUGAGUGAUGAAGGUCUUCGGAUCGUAAAACUCUGUUAUUAGGGAAGAACAUAUGUGUAAGUAACUGUGCACAUCUUGACGGUACCUAAUCAGAAAGCCACGGCUAACUACGUG